rnacentral:rRNA from 1 species
GCGCUCCGCGCGGGCGCUCCCCUUUGACCGCUACGUGGCUCUCCGCUCGCUGACACGCCCGCCCCGCCCCGCCCCGGGGACCUCCUCAAAUCCCCAUCGGCCCAUCCCCACCCCCCUCCACCUCCACCCCGCACCUCCCCACAAACGCGUAUUACCUCCUACGCUCCCGGAUCCGCUGCUCCACCCACCAACUCCGUUGCCACACGCCCUUGCACAAGCGAGCGAGCAACCAUGUCACCGGCAGAGCCGACGCGAGACGAGAGCGUCUACAUGGCCAAGCUUGCGGAGCAGGCCGAGCGCUACGAGGAGAUGGUGGAGUUCAUGGAGCGCGUCGCGAAGGCCACCGGCGGGGCAGGGCCCGGGGAGGAGCUAUCCGUUGAGGAGCGCAACCUGCUCUCUGUGGCUUACAAGAAUGUCAUCGGGGCCCGGCGCGCGUCCUGGAGGAUCAUCUCCUCCAUCGAGCAGAAGGAGGAAGGUCGGGGCAACGACGCGCACGCCGCCACCAUCCGCUCCUACCGCAGCAAGAUCGAGGCCGAGCUCGCAAAGAUCUGCAACGGCAUCCUCGCCCUGCUUGAUUCCCACCUCGUGCCAUCCGCCGGAGCUGCCGAGUCCAAAGUCUUCUAUCUCAAGAUGAAGGGCGACUACCACAGGUACCUUGCAGAGUUUAAGUCCGGUGAGGAGAGGAAGGAAGCCGCCGAGAGCACCAUGAACGCGUACAAAGCUGCUCAGGCCUUUGAUGAGGCUAUAUCAGAGCUGGACAGCUUAGGCGAGGAAUCCUACAAGGACAGCACUUUAAUCAUGCAGCUCCUGCGUGACAAUUUGACUCUAUGGACAUCCGACACCAAUGAGGAUGACGUUGAUGAGAUUAAGGAAGCCCCAGUUCCAAAAGAAUCUGGAGACGGACAGUGAGCUUUCGUUGCAACUAGAAGCAAAGGCGCGCUUUGCUGCGCCGUUCCUACCAUUCUUGGCAUUGUCAUGGUGAUCGAUAUGGCAAAUAAGAGAACGUAUCCUGUGCGCCAGCUGAAUUGGUGCCACGAAUGCGCCGGCCAUUUUUGGGCCACUUUAUGGGAACAGACGGACGAUGUUAGUAUAAGGUGGCAUAUGGUACGUUUCACACAAUGGACCUUGUAAAGUCAUUCAACUGCGCGUGCAGACCUUCUAAGAUCCGAUCGUCUUCUUCUCUUUGCUUUGCUCCCUUCUGUUCUUUUGAUUGAUUCAGUUUGUUGAUUCUUAAAUUGAAACUCCACUUUGAUGUCUAGUUUACCUUUCUGAAAUCUGUACUAGUUAUUCUUAUUCAUGAUUUUUUACUUAUUGCAAUCCACAUUCUAACAAUGCUUUAAAAUCAACAAUAUUGAUCUAGCGUACGUCCCUCGAGUCAUCUCACAAAUUCUUGAUACAUGUAACUGUAGUAGGUGUGAAUUUUAAUUGUAGAUAUACACUUUGCUUUGAUUGGGUGAUUCUGAAUAGGCCGUGCAAGCUAGUUCGAGUUCCCUGCGUCAGUGCUAAUGAUGUUAUAGAACACAGCCAGAAGAAACCGUGCUGCGAUUUCCGAUGUCCGCUCAUGUUUGAUCUUCAAGCAAGUCCGCUCAUGUUUGAUCUUCAAGCAAUCCUACUUGCUGACAUUUAUCUGGCUGUUGAUUCAGCUUGUAUUCUGGCCGACUUGUGGCUAUUGUUGCUUUUUUUUUUGUUCAUCUGUUUCUGUACUAAGUCCGACGCUUGCUCCUGUGCAC